GCAACGGCUUCCUAAAUGUGGAGAGCCACAGAGCCCUGUGGUUGCUGUUUCCAAGAAACCAGAAACCUCAGAACAAGGGGCUGCAGACUGUUCACAGAUAUCAUUCCCACUUGGGGUAUGGCUUUUUCCAUCAAUUACUGCAUUUCUGUCAGUCAUCUCUAGAAAUCCCUCACAGCCAGAAGUGUGCUUCAUUAAUCUCUUCCAGGAAGCUCUCAAUCUAACCAAAGGGAUGAUCAUGAUUAACUACCAUUCUCAUCCACGAGGAGGCGUCCUUCUGACUUGCCGAUUCCCUCCACUCACCCCUCAGGGAUCUCUGAGUGAACUUUGUGCAGAAUGGGAUGGUGGGCUCCCCACACGGAGCCAGCCACCCAGAAUGCCUGUUUAAGAAUUCACACUCCCGAACCCACCUGAAACCAUCAGGCUCACAAGCCUUCACCCUGGAAGCUGUGGUCCACACAUCUGCAGUCUGUCAUCUAUACUACAACUUUGACAAUUACUUUCCUUUGGGAUUCCAAAGAUAAAAGUAUGUCUUUGAUCCUAGGACUUUGGAGGCAUUGGCAGGUGGAUCUCUAUGAAUUUGAGGCCAGCCUGGUCUACCAAGAGAGUUCCAGGACAGCCAGAGCUGUUACACAGAGACAGCUUGUCUGGAAAAACCAAACCAGACAAAUGUAAUUAAAAAUGAUUUGUGUGUCCAUGUGUAGGUAUGUACUUGUGAGUGUGGAUACCAGCACCCAUGGAUCAAAAGAGAAUGACAGAUCUCUGAGGAUGGAGCUGUAGGUGUCUGUUAGCAGCUUGAUGGUGCCAGGAACAGGACUCUGGUUCUCCAAGGGCAUCAAGUGCUCUUAACCCCUGAGCCAUCUCUACAGCCCCUAUUUUUGCCUUUUGAAUACAACUGAACACUUUCCUGACAUCUCGAAGAUUUACUUGCUUUGCAUUCCAAGAGGAGAAAAAAAACAUUGACUUUUUAAAUUAAUUGUAAAAAAAUCAUAAUUACAUUUCUCUCCCAUCUGCCUGUUUAUACAGUUUAGCACUGAAGGGGUUUAGUUCCAUAUUUAGAACCUACUACAAGUUUGAGGCACAACUCCUUCCCCCCCCCAAAUCCUGCAACUAACCGAAAACAAACUUCAGCAGCCAGUUAGCAUAAAAAGGCAUCUGGGGUUUGGCGGUGGUGCAUGUCUCUAAUCCCAACAUUCCAGAAGCAGAGGCCUGUGGAUCUCUUUGAGUUUGGGGCCAGUCUGGUCUACAUGGCAAGUUCCAGGCCAGCUACAGCUACAUAGUGAGAUCCUGUCUAAAAAUAAAACAAUAACAGAACAGGCAUUUGGGUGCCAUCUUCAGCAUGGUAGGCAAUGACUUGGAUUUGGCACUAGAUGCGAAGAUACUUGAAGAGGAUCCUUCCUAAGUCACUGGGGACUCAUCCUGAGAUACCAUUGAAGGUGUCCAGCAGCCUCUGAAUGGAUCUUGGAUGUUUUGAGGCUCGCAUCUUUAGUUUCAACACGACAGAAGUUUGGGGACUGCCCACUGAAUGGCUGGAGUGACUGGCCCUUCCUGGCUCUCACACAAACAUCCUCUUUAUUCUAGUAGUUCUUUACUCUUUGCUUGUUCAGGCAUUCUUCUGAAAUCAUCACGUGGGAGACUUGGUUCUCAUGGCAACUUACCAUUAUAUCCAGAAGGAAACUGAGGCACGCAGAAAGGAAGCAACUUGUCCACGGCGAGGAGACAGAAAAGCUUUCAAGUCACGUGUGGGGUGCAUGCCUAUAAUGCCAGCUCUUGGGAGGAGGAGGCAGAAGGAUCAUGAGUUCAAGGCCAGCAUAGAUUACAUAGCAAGUUACAAAGACCAGCCUGGCUUACAUAGCAAGAUCCUGUCGCAGUCAACCAAAUAAGAAAAACCCAGGAAGGCUUCCGUCCCAUCUCUCCAUGUAACCAAAGUUCCCGAACGCCGUGAUGAAUGACCCAAGUGUGUGCCUGGCAAAUGUUGUAUUGCCACGAAGUGCCUCGGGUCCCUCAAUCACUUCCAUGCAGGAGGAUUUUAGUCAGCAGAUAAAUGGACAGCAGUCACAAUGUUCAGCAGUCAUGGUAAGACAUGAAGGCUGGUGUAUUAGGAGCCAGGUGCUCAGGCUUCAAGCCCUGAAACCCAAGCAAGAAAAGUCUCAUCAUCCCAGGAAGGCAGCUUCCUUUGAAGAAAGGAAAAUCUGGGGACCGACACUUCCCGGGAAAAAGCUCGGCUCCAUGCAGGAUUCCACCGGGUGCACAGGAAUCAUGGAUGACAGGUUUGUGACCAGAGGUGACGGGCUACUGCCCUCCCAAAACUCCUCAGAGAAAACUGUUGGGGAGUUCCUUUCUCUCUCGACCCUUCCAUCUCCUCCAAUAAAAUCCAGCUGUGGUGGCCUACUCAGUAUCACUAGCCGUCACUCCACUCAGCAUGGAAAGGCACUGUAGGAGAGUCCAAGGAUUUGAGGAGUUGGA